AUGACCUGGGCUACACACGUGCUACAAUGGUUGGUACAACGAGUUGCGAGUCGGUGACGGCGAGCUAAUCUCUUAAAGCCAAUCUCAGUUCGGAUUGUAGGCUGCAACUCGCCUACAUGAAGUCGGAAUCGCUAGUAAUCGCGGAUCAGCACGCCCGCGGUCCGUAAUACGUUCCGGCCUU
rnacentral:rRNA from 1 species